GCCUGGGUGGCUCAGUCAGUUAAGCAUCUGACUUCGGCUCAGGUCAUGAUUUUGCAGUUUGUGGGUUCAAGCCCUGCAUCAGGCU
rnacentral:tRNA from 1 species